rnacentral:rRNA from 1 species
UAGAGUUUGAUCCUGGCUCAGAAUCAACGCUGGCGGCGUGCCUAACACAUGCAAGUCGCACGAGAAAGGGGCUUCGGCUCUGAGUAAAGUGGCGCACGGGUGAGUAACACGUGAAUUAUCUACCUCCGAGUGGGGAAUAACUGAGAGAAAUCUUAGCUAAUACCGCAUAACACUUACGAGUCAAAGCAGCAAUGCGCUUGGAGAGGAGUUCGCGGCCGAUUAGUUAGUUGGCGGGGUAAUGGCCCACCAAGACGAUGAUCGGUAUCCGGCCUGAGAGGGCGCACGGACACACUGGAACUGAAACACGGUCCAGACUCCUACGGGAGGCAGCAGUGGGGAAUUUUGCGCAAUGGGGGAAACCCUGACGCAGCAACGCCGCGUGGAGGAUGAAAUCCCUUGGGAUGUAAACUCCUUUCGAUAGGGAAGAUUAUGACGGUACCGGGAGAAGAAGCCCCGGCUAACUUCGUGCCAGCAGCCGCGGUAAUACGAGGGGGGCAAGCGUUGUUCGGAAUUAUUGGGCGUAAAGGGCGCGUAGGCGGUUUGAUAAGUUUCAUGUGAAAUCUAUGGGCUCAACCCAUAGCCUGCAUGGAAAACUGCCGGGCUUGAGGAUGGGAGAGGUGAGUGGAAUUUCCGGUGUAGCGGUGAAAUGCGUAGAUAUCGGAAGGAACACCUGAGGCGAAAGCGGCUCACUGGACCAUUUCUGACGCUGAUGCGCGAAAGCUAGGGGAGCAAACAGGAUUAGAUACCCUGGUAGUCCUAGCCCUAAACGAUGAUUGCUUGAUGUA